ACAUUGCUUUGUGGAUCAUCAUUUUCCACGGCUGGUAGUAACUGGAUGAAUAUCCGGGAUAACUUCUUAUUCCUAACUAUGACUGAACAUCAGAAUUUACAGUGGACGUUCAUAAAAAUUCCUGAGCCUCACACCCAGAAAUUCUAAUUUAUUAGGUUUGGUUUAAGGCCCCAGCAUCUGUAUUAAAAUAUUAAAAUAUCACUUCCCCCGCCCUGACCCCAGCAACUACUGAACUCCUCAGGCAAUUUUUUUCUGUGCACCCAAGAUUGAUAACCAUGGCCUUAGCUCUUAACCUCACCAUGUUGCUAUAUGAAUACUCCUCACUGAUUACCAGGUAGAAAGCUGGAAAAGGCUGCAUUCCUUGUGAAUAACUAAUAUGAGCAGAAAAGGCCAGCGUAUCAGCUGCCCCUCAUUUAUACAUUGAUUAGGUCUCAAAAUAUGACAAGCUCAACUUAACUGUUAGGGAAAGAGUCAAUGAGACCAGCAGAUAGCUGGAAAACAGACCUUUUAGUUUAUUUCUUAAGUGUCACAUCAGUCUGUCCAGUGAAGUGAUUAAAGGGGAGACUCCAAACUUCAACGGGAACCAGGCCCUGAUUUGUUCGGGGUCAUGAGCAAUGGCUCGAAACCAUCUUGUUUGCAGAUACUUCUUUCAUGCUAUUAGGCUGUCAGUUGACAGAGUUUGCAAGAUUUAUGGCUCAAAACUCAAGUGUACACAUGUGCGAGAGGGUGGGACGAUGCGAUGGGUUAGAUGAGGUGAAAGGAGAGGAAGAUGGCACGGGAGUGUGAUUGUGAAUACUCUGGACCACCCUUUUGGAAUUCAACUUCCUAAUCUCUCUAGGUUUUACCCCUUCCUCCCAGUAAACAUGAUUUUUAACUUCUGGAAUUCCUGCUGUAGGAAAUUAAAAUAAAAAGUGAGACUUCUACCAGAAGCACCUAAUUUAUGAAAAGGUUCCUAGGGUGCUUUUAAUAAUAAAGUUUCAUUGAGGGGAAAAUAAUAAAGAUUUAGCAUCCUUGUCCCUGGGGAAUUGAUGACCUUUCUCAUUCUCUUGAGAAAACUCUGCUUUCAUAGCCUAAUUGACUCUCUUUUAUUGGACCUGUUUGCUUCUUUCAAACUUAUUUGAGUUGAAAUUUCUGAUGUUUAAAAUCUCACAUCCUCUUCACAGUGGGGACAGUAACUUUCUGCAUCUUUCUGCUUUUCCCUCAGAGAUUUUUCUCUUUCUGCCAGGAGGGAAUCCCUUGCCUGUUGCUGUGAACAACACUUCUCACUAAUUUCCCUCUUUCAGUUCCUCCGAUCCAAACUGAAACUUCCUUUUUCUUUCUCUUAUCUUUCUUUUCUUUUCUUUUUUCUUAAGACAGGGUCUCCCUCUGUCACCCAGGCUGGAGUGCAAUGACACGAACACAGCUCACUGCAGCCUCGACUUCCUGGGCUCAGGUGAUUUUCCCACCUCAGCUUCCUGAGUAGCUGGAACCACAGGCAUGCACCACCAUGCCCGGCUUAUUUUUGUAGUUUUUUUGGAGAGACAGGGUUUCACCAUGUUGCCUAGGCUGGUCUCAAACUACUGGGCUCAAGGGAUCCUCCUGCUUCAGCCUCCCAAAGUGCUGGGAUUACAGGCGUGACUCACUGCGCCCGGCCCAAACUGAAACUUUCUAAAAGGAAGUGUUACUCUAUGACUCCCCUGCUUGAAGUCCUGGGACUCUCCAGGGUUUAUUUAAAUGCAAAUUUAGUUUACGGAAUUUGUCACUACUUCCAAUCCCCAAGCCUGCUUACAGCACACAGACACACACGCGCGCACGCACACACACACACACGCACACACAGUUCUCCAGCCAUAGUACAUUAUCCCUCAUUCCUCAAAGUGGCAAGUUCUCAUAUUCUCUAGCAUCUAUGCACAUUUUCUGCCUUUUGCUUGUUUUUGUCUUUCUCUGUAGAAAACCUCAUAAACUCUAACCCUAACUUCAAGACUCAACUUAAAUGCCACUUUCUCUGUGAAAAUGGAAACUUUCCCCCUCAAUCAGAGUGCGUCAGGGUCCUUUCUUCUUCUUUUUUUUAAAAAUAGAGACAGGGUCUUGCUGUGUUGCCCAGGCUGCCCUCGAACUCCUGGGCUCCAGCAAUCCUCCUGCCUCAAUCUCCCAAUGUGCUGAGAUUACAGGCAUGAGCCACUGCACCUGGCCAAAGGGUCCCUUCUUUAUAUGCUUCUCUAGCCCCCUAUUCACACUCCCAUGCUAAACAUUCAGUGUUAUCAUUGCAUUAGGAUUGCUUCCUUCAGAAAGCGCAUAUGAAAGCCGUUUCUGUCUCGUUUUUCUCCAUUGCCUCAUAAAAUUCUGAGCAAAUCAUAGUCAACACUUUAAAAACUGUCUGUUGGCUGGCCAGGCAUGGUGGCUCACGCCUGUAAUCCUAGCCCUUUGGGAAGCCGAGGCGGGUGGAUCACGAAGUCAGGAGAUCGAGACCAUCCUGGCUAACAUGGUGAAACCUCGUCUCUACUAAAAAUACAAAAAAUUAGCCGGGUGCGGUGGCAUGUGCCUGUAGUCCCAGCUACCCGGGAGGCUGAGGCAGGAGAAUUGCUUGAGCCUGGGAGGCGGAGGUUGCAGUGAGCCAAGAUUGGGCCACUGCACUCCAGCCUGGGUGACAGAGCGAGACUCUGUCUCCAAAAAAAAAAACAAACAAACAAACAAAAAAAACUGUUGGCCAAUGAAAUAAAAGAAAAAACUAAAAUCACUAUUAGAAGUUAGCAAAAAAAAAAAAAAAAAAUAGAUCUUGGGAGCAGAGGGAAAGGCUUAGAGUAAAAUAAGUAGGGAAUAAAUCAAAGUGUCCAUUUUGCCCCAUUGCUACAGCACCUAGUUUAACUACCAAGCCUACCUAGGACCACUGUACUCUGGAAGCCCACUAGAGCAAGAAGAGCUAGAAAUGGUGCUUCAGUGGGAUAGCUAUUUGCUAAGCCACAUUUCUAGUAAUGGUGGUUUGGGGAAGGGGCAAUUAUUGCCCAAUUCCACAUGAAUUUAUAACGAUGUUGUAGAUGAAGUAGUGUAGGUAGGUGCAGCAGUGGCUUGGCCAAGGCGUCUCAUUAGUGGCACCGCAAUAUUCUGUGUCCUCUGAAUCCAGUGCUUCACUUUGACUACACUACUGAAAGCCAAAUUUCAUUAUUUCUGACAAUUGGGGAGAUAAUUUUGUACCAUAUGUAUUCAUAAUGCGCUUGAUAAUUUAUCUAUUACAAAUCAUGGAGACUUUUUGUUUAAAUGCAAACCAAGUACUAUAAAUCUCAUUGGUUUUCAAGUUUUAUCACUCAAAUUCAAAUAGGUACAUGUGUGGGCCGACGGGGUGUGCAGUGGGCUGCAAAUGCCAUCAGAAACACGUGGAACACAAGUGACAGAGGUCCUAAGGGCACAUUUUAAGUCUGCUUCUCCUGGUUCUGUGUAUGUCUGAGGGUAAAAUCAGGUUUUCCUUAUCGAGAAGAGCAGUGACUUCUGCCCUUACUCCUGUCUUCUUCCUACCGGACUCUGGGUCUCAUGAGUGUUCACAAGCAUGGCGCCUGGUUUGUUCUGUGGCAUUUGCCCCAUUCUCCUCCUUUGCACUGACUAAUGCAGAAAUGUCACCGGCCACCCUACAGUUGCCUUGCAGAUGUGGCGCAAGUUCCCUGUCCUUGCACUAGCGCUGCCUGCUAUUUUGCGGAUGGCAGAGGAGAGCUGCCUUGUGUUUUCCAAUGUUCCUCCUGAACGCUGUGAAACCACUCUUUUAUUUCAUUUUUGUCUUUCCCUUUCCCAAGGACUCUGACACGAGCCCCUGAGAAAAACGGCGGGGUCAGGAAACAAUCUUAAGCUAUGAAACCUGCUGUACUUAAAGGUGCCACUCUCCUCUGAAAAAAAAUUCAUUAUCCUUACACUUAGUUUAUUAGCUUCCGUUAUUGCUUUCUCCCAGGACGCCCUUUGUGGUUCAGG
rnacentral:lncRNA from 10 species